ensembl:lncRNA
AAUUCCAGUACCACACGGCUGUGAAAGACUGAUCUAUCGUUAUCUGAAGCAUUCAGGGGUUGCAGAUAUUGCUGCUAAAGUUGGCAAUUAGUUUUUUUACAUGGAUGAUAGGUGUUGAUAAAAUAAAAUAAAAACGCUAUGCAAUAACUCAGGUGGCCUUUGUUUUAUGUUGUAUUUUGUUUUAAAUUCUUAAGCUAUUUAGUAUGAUAUAUACACAAAACCAGAAGAAAUCAGGGUGCAGCAAAUACAUUUUCACAGCACUGUUAUUGUGGCCUUUUUAUUUCAUAUGAUACAUUGCUUAAACUUGCUGCAACCACUUCCGACACUUCAAGUGAACCACAAACAUAUCCUGUGCGAAUAUAAUAACAACAGCAUCAUGGUUGAAUUUUCACAUUACUAUAGUGGACUUGUACAACAGCUGACUUUUCAUAGAUCUAAAUCAAACAGAUUGCAGAAUCUAAAAGCCCUUACAAAAAUGUUUAAAAAGUUAAAGUUUGGGAAGAAGAAAAAAACAGCCAGGAAUACACAUGAGCAGUAUCGUCUGAUCAAAGACAUACCAACACAGCACACAGAGACCACGGAUGCAGGAGAACAGGAAAGCACAGUCGAUGAGAUGCCAUCCUGUUCAGGUGUUGAAGUGAGUGGCGAGGCAGGGCUUAAUAUUCUCAGAACAAUUCUUAGUGAACAAUCAAACCCAGAGGACGCGGACACUGCAGCUGCAAUGCCAAAAAUCAGCUUCUCUCAAGAAUGGCAAAAUAAGUACCUUCAGGAAAUAGAUCAGUUUGUGGAGAACCAUUUUCCCAGGCUGCCAGCUGAGAGAACUCAAAAAUCUCAGUUGGAGCAGAUACCGGACUUUCUAAAGAGCGCACAGACUAUGAUAUGCAAUGGUGUUCGUCGAUUAACACCUGCACUGAAAGAUGCUGGGCUGCUAGAUCAUCUGAUGGACAGUUACAGCCGUCACCUCUUUACCAACCUGGACCUGCUGCUAAACAGAGAUCUGUCUGUGAAAGAGAUCUUCUGCCUUCUACUGUGGGGAAAAGAUUUUUUCUUCAGUUCAGAAUCAAAACUGAGAGUGUACGAUCCUCUGCUGUUGACAGGAGGGUUUGAGUGUGCAAAGCAGAAACUACUGCAAGUACUUAAGGGUGACAUCUCCAAGUGUCUACAGAAAAUCCUGUGCGAAGAUGAGGAACAUGGACAUAAUAAGGAAUCAAUGGAUGAAGAAACUUUCUUCCAAGUGCACAUAGAUGUCAUUCAGGUCCUGAAUUGUACUAUUGUUGAAGCUGAAAAGGUUGGUCUGACUUUGAUGCAUGCCGUACAAAUACUCUGUAGUGGAGAGCUGCAUGAUUUUGUUCAGAAGUAUGUGGAUGCUAAGAAUGAACAUCUUAAAAAACUAAAGUUUACAGAGAAAAACUCUGUGAAUCUCUUUCGGCUAAUCAACACCUGCAUGCAACUCAGAUGCUAUGCUGCACAAAUCACUCCAGAUGUUAGCAACAGUGAUGUCUACUCAAGCACUAUAUGCAUGCUACAGAAACUGGAAGAUAAAGCUUCAUCCAUUGUACAAAAUAUCAUGAACUGCUUAGCACAGAAUGUCAGUGCUAACCAGCAGAACCAGCUCCUUCAGAGAAUGAGUGAAGUUUUGCUUUGCAGUGAUGUAGAAGCACUGAAGAUUACCUGUUGCAAUUUGUUGAGAGAUUUCCCUCAGGAGAGUAAGCAGUAUGUACCUGGUCUGCUGCGCUGGAAGGGGGUUUUAUCAGAGCGACAGGUGAGGGAAGUGCUGGAUGUGACCCAGGACCUCGGCCUCAAUCUACAGCCUAGACGCGUCACCUGUCAGCCUCUGAAGGGACUUUUUUGUUUUCUUUGAUGUGAAUAACAACAUCAGCCAGAACUGUAAAAUCUUUGUUUAAGUUUAAUUCGAUGACAUGACUGUUUUGUGUUAUUCAUUUAUGAUAUUUAUGUUAUACUGGUACAUAGAUAUUUUCAUCAGAUAUUGUAAUAUUUGCUUUUCCCUGAUGACUUUUUGAUGUUACUUGAAAAUAGGAAAUAAUUUUUAUAUCAGACCACUGGAGAAAAAUGAAUUACCCUUUACUCUUUACCCUUUUAAUCUUUUAUAUGAUAAUUUAAUUUUCACAGAGUUACUCAUUUUGACUUCUACCUUUUACAUUGUUACAAAAGAGGAUUGUAACAACAUGUCCAGCUACUGUAUGAACCUAAAUUAUUGUUAUAUUAUUUAAAUGUUCAGUCAGGACCACUCUGUUUGAUUAAGAUUACUGUAGAGGUCCUGAACAUUAUUUUUGGCGACAGGCUUUACGCUCAAGGGUUCAGAGUCUGAGCUGUCCACAAGCAAACCUCACUGAGGUGUAAACCCCGAAGCCUAAUGCAAUUACCAGAUAUAAAAUUCCAUCCAGAAGUGAUACAAGUCUGUAAAUGAGUCUGGACAAGAUUAAACAAUUAGCUGAUGGAUGAUCUCAUGCGCCUGCAGGGUGAGCGACAGACCAAGGCAAGUGUGACUUUGAAAGAACUUAUAUAGAAUAUAUAUCUUAUUUAAUUGUAGUGGGAGGAGUUGCUGAUGCUGGCUGUCACGCCAUGGUCUUCUUGAACUUAUGCUUGAGCUCCAUUCGUCACUCAGACUACAUUUAUAUUUACAUACAAUUAUAUUUUUUGUAAUUUCUUACAUUUUCAUUUGAAAAUAGGUACAGUAUCUUUUGUGUGAUGUGAUUUGUGUGAGCUCCAUUUUUGUGCACACAGAUCAUAAUCCCUUGGUGUUCUUGACCCACAUGUCUAACCCUAAUCAACGUUUAAUGUGUUGAAUAUUAUUUUGAUAUCCGGCACAAGAAAAUAAUUGACAAACAUCAUUGCCAAUGCCCUGUGCAGAUUUCAUUCCUUUGACAAUUAAAAAAAUGUGUUUUUUUUUUUUUUUUUUUGUGAUUCAUUAUAUUAUCUUAUAACCAGUGGGUGGCUUUGUGAAUCUUUUACCUCAUUUGUGUUGAACUUACUGAAGUAGUGUUUUUUUCCUUUGUUUAUCUGAUUGCACUCCAUGAUUGAGGGGAAUGGGAGAAGUGUUACCUUCUGAGUCUGUUUGAUUCAGCUGUUUUUGUUGUUGUUGUUGUUGUUGUUGUUGUUGUUGUUUUGCUUCACAAGUUUAAUGAUUCAAUUGUUUUUGUGGGGUUUGUAGGGAAGUGGGUGCAAUUUGUUUUGAAGUAGACCUUCCCCCUGUUAAUGUUAGUUGGGGAGUUAACUUAUUUUGCUGGAUUUUUGUUUUCUGCCUUUUUAGUUUAGUUAUAGUUGGUUCAUAAGGAGUGAGUUAUUUUUGUUGUUUUAGCAAUAUCCCAAAAUCUUUUACGAAAUAUAAAAAUUGUGAUUUGCAGUUUUGUUUCAUAAAGAAUUUCAGUAUGUACAAAAUGAUUGCAAAAGCAAAAUUCAUGUGAUCCUCACUAUGGAAAAGAAGCUCCUGCUAAACUGGAGUGAGUCCUGCUUUUCACUGAACUGAUUCUGGAUGCAAGUGAAACUCUUCAGGAUAUUUCUGUGGUCUGAUGGAAAAAGAUUUCCCUUGAGUCUCAGCCGAGCAGAAAUAUGAUGCUGACUGUAACAAGAAUACAGACAGGAGAAAAACACAGUGGUCUUAUUUUUCCCCUGAAUAAUCGCACAGCAGAAACCACCAAACUUAAGAUCAGGGUAAAGCAUCAUCAGACGUGCCAGCUCUAAUUUUGCACUCUUUAGAUCCUGUAGUUUCAGGAGACCUGCUAAUUUGAGAAUUUCUUUCAAACAGUCCAUAUUUGAUCCCUGUGAUAAUGAAAUUUCACUGUGUUUGAUUUAAACUUGUGUUAGUAUGGUAUACAAAAUUUUGGGAUUGGCUUGAAUCUGUGGAACUGUUGGACUAUUAAUGUCAAUGUCAAACUUUUUCAAAAAUAACCUACUGUAUUCUCCAACUGGCCACUGUAAUGUGGAUUAUGAAAAAAUAAACCUCAGAGAAUUUAUGGUAACUGUGUCUUGUAAUCAGCAUCAAAUAAUUCCAGUACGCACAUCUUUAUAGUUAUUUGCUGCUUUGUGUGGCGAUUAUGGGAGUACAUGUAACAGACAUCUUAAGUUGGAUCUUAAGUUACCCACAUAUGACUGUUGGAUGUGUACUUGUUCCUACUGCAAUUAAAAGCAUUUAUUAUUAACUAGUGAUCAUCUGUCCUGUUUAUUUUGAACCUUUUUGAAUUCCCUGUAUUGGAUAUGGUAUUUGGUGACUGACUCCAUUAUAUUCUUGAAAGAUCACAUUUUUUAAUGUUGACUUUUUUGUGUCUUAGCAAUCAUGCUGAUAUAAUAUUAAUAACAAUAAUAAUAAUGAUAAUAAAAGGUUCCAGUCCUCCUGCGACCUUACAGUGAUAAGCUGAAGAUAAGGUAUAGAGAAUGAAUGGAUGGAAAAUAAUAAUAGUGACUGAACCCAAUAGAGAAUAAUUAAGAAUUAAAGUACUGCAAAAUCAAUAUCUAACCUCUGAUUUAUAAAUGUUGCAUUUGUCAUUUAAUACGGAACAGUGCUCAACCUUUCUUCUCAAACCUGCUGCAACUAUUUCCGAUACUUCAAAUGAACCACAGUCAUAUCCUGUGCAUAAGAGAAGAACAAAAAUAUCAUGGUUGAGUUAAAUUACACCACUUAUUACACCUGUACAAAAGCUUACAUUUUCAUAGAUCUAAAUCAGACAGGCUACAAAAUCUAAAAGCCCCUUUUAUAAAGUGAUAUUACAUUUUGGAGUACAAUAAAAACAACCAAGAAUAAAGAGCGGCAUCCUCUGGUGAAAGACAUGCAAACACAGUAUACAGAGACCUCUCUUGGUUAGACAAUAUUUUAUUUUAAGAAAGUUAUUUUUGUAACACUUUACAAUAUUUGUUAACAUUAAUGCAUUAACUAACAUGAGCUAGCAAUACAUUUGUCACAGUAUUUAUUAAUCUUUGUUAGUGUUAGUUAAUAACAAUACAACUGUUCUUUAGUUAAUGGUAGCUCAGUUCUAUUAAAUAACAUAUACAUUUUUUAUUUAUUUAAAAAAUGUAUUAGUAAAUGUUGAAAUUAAUAUUGACAAAGAUGAAUAAAUACUUUAGAAAUAUUUGUCAUUGUUAAUGCUAUCUAAUGCAGCUAACUAAUGGUAAGACAUUGAACCUUACUGAAAAGUGGUACCAUUAUGUUAAUUGAAUCAUUUAUGAAUCAGAGUUGACUUAGAUGUCACUCAGGUAACUCUUGGAAAGAGAGAAAAAGUGAAGCUACUUAACUAUUAGCUAUAGACUAAGCUAUUUUUAGUUUCUCGUGUAAAAAAGUGUUAUUUAUGAAUAUGAUACAUUGCUCACUGAUUUCAUAUUUUGUUUUCAUAGUUCCUGGAUUGUGCUGUUUUAGAUGCUCAGAAGGUUGGUCUGACUUUGAUGCAUGCAGUACAAAUACUCUGUAGUGGAGCGCUGCAUGAUUUUGUUUAGAAGUAAGUUUAUCUAUCUUGUAUUAUACCUUUACCUAAAGUUCACACACUAAAGCGGUUCUCAUUUAAUGAGUUUCCAGUUAUGAUCUUUUUAGUCUAUGGUUGUUGGAGUGUGGAGGCUUUUAAUCCUGUACUUAAUGUAAAUAUGUGUUUUCUUAGAUAUAUGGAUGCUGAGAACUAACGUCUAAAAAGACUAAUACUUACAGAGAAAAACUCUGUGUAUCUGUUUCGGAUAAUCAACACUUGUAUGCAACUUAUGUAUGCAACAACACUUGUAUGCAACUGGUAUUUAUUAAUAAUGAUUAAAAUAAUGAACUAAUACAUGGAUUUAUUAAUAUAUAUAUAUAUAUAUAUAUAUAUAUAUAUAUAUAUAUAUAUAUAU